AAAAAACAGAAUAUAUUGUACCGACUUCGAGAAAGAUGCAGUAUACUGCUGUAGUAUGAUGGGUGAAGAUAUCUGGACAUUCACUGACCAGUCUCUUAUUAAUGCGAGGGGAAUAUCAGCUGAUGACGACGAGCACGUGAUUGUUGUGGGUAGAGAAACUAAUAGCCUGAUUAUGAUUCAGCAUGAUGGGAAAGUCAGUAAGACAUUACUUACUGAUGGUCUCGAUGAUCCAGUUUCUGUUCACUACAACAAAGAUAUAAAGUUACUGUUGAUUUGUAAUCUAUAUACUGGAGAGGUAUUUCUAUAUAGUGUUACCAGGGAAUCGUGUGUCUUAGUGGAAUGGUAAUUUGGCCGAUUUUAAACAUGAUACUAUUAUGCAUCUCUGUCUUGGCCGAGCUGAAAACUUUAAAGACAACAGUAGUAUACCGCUGUUCGAAGUACAUUGUAUAUUCAAAGGAUAAACCUGUAAUUCAGCCAAGUGACAUCUAAUGUAUUCACUCAGACGUAAAAAAAAAUCUUUAUAACAGAAAAUUGGUUAUGAUUUUCACUUUACACCGUGUAGAAUACCACAUGCUUGGUGUUGGCUAUGUUUGACAUGGGUUGCGGUUUUGAAGCAGAGAGAAACGACUAUAAGAUAAAAUCAAAAAAUGAAAAUUUUAUUUAAGAAAUUGUUGGCACUAAGUUAUAUAUUGCACUGAAGGAACCAAACCAUAAUCUAUUUCAAACAAGCAGAAGCAGACGUUUUCAGGGCUCUGUUUUCUCAAACACCUUUUCGUAGUUUUCCGUGUUGCAGAUUUUAAGGCUUCAUAUGCCAGUUUUUAGGUAUUUCGUCACUCUUUCAGUAUAAAAAACACUUUUGACAAAUUUUCCUGUAUGGUUUAUAAAGAAAUGAUUUCCUAUCAUCAAAUCAAACCAAAUGCCAGCUUUUUAUAUUAUAAUUUAUUGGUUUUAGAUUAAUUUUUCAAAAUAAUAUAAUGUGUCGCUCGAGGUGUCCCAAGGGGUAGAGGCAUUUAUAUUUAAAAGAAUAGAAAUACAAAUAAUUUGGCCUUUAUCUGAUACUUUGUAAUGCAAACACACCUACUUUGUUAUUAUGACAAAUUACAAAUUGUAUUUGUUGAAUGUCUGGAAGUACCUAUCAGCCACGUUUGCCUAUUCUCCAGGACCCAACACAUCGUGUUUCUUCAUUACAGAAUAGGACAAACUCUAUAAUAUUCCGUGGCUCAUAUGAAGGGUGGGUGCUUCAUCAGGGGACCUAACCCAAUCCUUCAUAUUGUACUAAGCUUUGACUACCGAUCUAAUCAGUAUUUCUUUUUUGUUUCCGAUGUCUACUAUACGCCACCAUUGUUGGUUUUGGAAAUAGCUCCCUACAUUAAAUCGUUAGUAGCUACAGUGUUGAAAAACAAUUAUUUUGAAUUUAAUGACCGAUUCUUUGUACAGAAAAUAGGCGCUAUAUUGGAAGUAAAUGCAGCCCAGAAAUUUGUGAUAUUAGAACAUUCGAAGUCAUCAAUGAAAUUAUUGAAAAAUAUGAAAUUAAGAUCUUAUUUUACGGAAGGUAUAGAGAUGAUGCGUUUAUAAUAGCUCAUUCAUCAUGAGAAGAGGUUGAGGAGUUUUUUAAAAUAGCAAAUGAUCAUCACCCUUUAUUAAAGUUUACUUAUGAAAUUUCGACCGAAGAAAUUAUAUUUCUCGAUACAGUCGUACAUAAAGGGUUGAGGUUCAGAAACACCGGUAUCCUUGAUAUAAAGAGCUACACCAAACCUACUAAUACGUUUCAAUAUUUAGAUAUGACGUCUAUGCAUAACCCAACAGUCUUCUCCGGAUUUAUAAAAGGGGAAGCUAUUCGCCACCACCGAAACAACAGCACACGCAAAAUUUAAAAGAUACACUUUGUAAAUUCAAAGGCCAUCUUAAGCAAAGAUGAUAUAAUGACCAUGAAAUACUUCGUAACUGUGAAUCGGCUCUAAAUAUCAAACGACCAGAGUUACUCCGCUUUAAACAAGAAUCUGACAAGCAGAUACCACUAGUAUUUGUAACUAAAUAUCACUUCUCGUUAGGAAAUAUAAAUAAAGCUUUACGAAAGCAUUAUAAAAACUAGUUUGCAAUGCGAAAUGUAGGGAGCUAUUUCCAAAACCAGCAAUGGUGGCGUAUAGUAGACAUCGGAACUAAAAAGAAAUACUGACUUGAUCGGUAGUCAAAGCUUAGUACAAUAUGAAGGAUUGGGUUAGAUCCCCUGAUGAAGCACCCACCCUUCAUAUGAGCCACGGAAUAUCAUAGAGUUUGUCCUAUUCUGUAAUGAAGAAACACGAUGGUUGGUCUGAGAAUAGGCAAACGUGGCUGAUAGGUACUUCCAGACAUUCAACAUAAAAAUUUGUGGCUCUACACUUUCAUGAUGAUGUGGCGUGUUUUGAUUUUAUUUUACCAAAUCUUGCACAAAUCGCUGUAAUACAUUCCAUUUUAAUGUAAACUUUAUUUCUCACAAACUAUUAAGCUGAUUAUUAUAAAAUUUGGCAGUAAUGCUUCUUAAUGAAGUGAUCUAAGUGAGUGAAAUAUAAAUACUGGAUCAUUCGAGUUAUGAAGAUCCCUCCUACAUCACCAAAGCCAUGUGAUGCCUUACUUAAUUGUAUAUGAAGGUGGUAAAAAUAUAUUUCCAUUUUUACUGUUUUCGUCUCUUAAAGUAUGUAAACUAUUUAUUUCCAUGUUAAAAAGACAUUGAUCCCCCACUUUGAAAUUAUAAAAAAAUCGAACCCCCCUUUUCCACAUAAAAAAAAAUGACCCCUCAGCAUUUUGACCAGCUCCCCCCACUCUCAGAUAAAAAAUGAUAAGUCCCUUAAGGUAUUCAUUUGGCCCAUAUUUCUGUCUGUUAAGUAUUGUGCAUUUUUAAUGUUGGAAAAUCGAAAAAAAAAGUCUCAACGUAAACAAAUAAAGUAAUAUGAAGAGAGAUGAUAUGUUACUUGUAUUAGUUUCAUACAUUUAAGGCUCAAAAUUGAUGAAUAACACACGUAUAGAUGCAAAAGGGUAUUACCGAUUUAUCGUAUGAUUUUUCCAUUUUUUGUCUUGCUCUAUGUGUGUUACAUUUUAACGUUGUGUUUCUUUUGUGUCGUUUGUUUCCUCUUAUAUUUGAGUGUGUAUUCACAUUAUUAUAAAACGUGUCACGGUACUUUUCUAUCCCAAAUUCAUGUAUUUAGUUUUGAUGUUAUAUUUGUAAUUCUCAUCGGAUUUUGUCUAAUGCUUAGUUCGUUUCUGUGUGUGUUACAUGUUAAUGUUUGUGUCGUAAUUCUCUUGUAUUUAAUGCGUUUCCCUCGGUUUUGGUUUAUGACCCGGAUUUGUUUGUUUUUUUCUAUCGAUUUGUGAGUUUUGAACAUCGGUAUACUACUGUUGCCUUUAUUUAUAUAUAUGAUGUUUCCGGCGUCGGCGGCGUCAACAAUGUAUUAGUUUGUGAUUAUGUCUAGUUUAUGGUGAACCACUAGUAGUAAGUCAAAUAUAUUUGGUAUGCAGUUGUAUUAGUAUUGGCACAUCUCAUUUCCAUGGAGAUUAUUUGGCCCCGUCCCCUCAGUUAUGGUCCAUUGACUUUGAAAUUUUGCUUAUUUUUCAUGUAUUAGUUUGUGAUUAGGUCAAUUUAUGGGUAACCACUAGUGGUAAGUUAAUGAUAAUUGUUAUGCAGUUGUAUAAUCAUUGGCAUAUAUCAUUUCCGUAGGGAGUUUUUGGCCAUGCCCCUCAGUCAUGGUUUUUGACUUUGAAACUUCUGCGAGACAUAUGUAUGUGAUAACAGUUUAUUUAAUAAUGUUUCACAUGAAAGAAAUUUAAGUUAAUGCUAUGAACAAAUCAAACUUAAAUCGACCAUGGAAAUAUUCACAUUAACUGUACAAUUUUUUUUUACAGCAGAUGCACAUUUCGACAAUGAAUGUCUCUUCAGUGAUACACGAGUCCGAAAUAUUCUGAAGUCCAAAACUUUAUAAAUGUAUAAGUCUCAAAAACACAGCAUUCAAUUCUUAUAUUAACAGAUUUUUGAAGAAAAAAAAAUACUAUCCACAUUUUGAAACUGAAAGCAACAUUUUAUAAACAACACAUCACGAAGUGUCGAUUUCCGUGUAAAUGAAUAUAGCUAAAAAAAAACAUGCAUCAAAUUUAAUUCAAUAUUGUAUAAAAAAGAAGAUGUGGUAUGAUUGCCAAUGAGACAACUAUCCACAAAAGACCAAAAUGACACAGACAUUAACAACUAUAGGUCACCGUACGGCCUUCAACAAUGAGCAAAGCCCAUACCGCAUAGUCAGCUAGACAAUGUAAAACAAUUCAAACGAGAAAACUAACGGCCUUAUUUAUGUAAAAAAAAUGAACGAAAAUCAAAUAUGUAACACAUAAACAAACGACAACCACUGAAUUGCAGGCUCCUGACUUUGGACAGGCACAUACAUAAAUAAUGUGGCGGGGGUAAACAUGUACAUGUUUAUCGAAAAUAAAUAAUUGAUAGUCCAUUCCUUGUAUUUCAAGAUAAACUGUAAAUUACAUUUUUAAAUCAAUUAAUUUCUUGCUUUUUUUAAGCAUUAUCGUUUGUACUAAGUAUACGAAAAAUGUAGAAACAGUUAUUAAUUAUAGGAUAUCGGUCUGCUUUCAUACAAAAGUAGAGCAUAUAACGGAGUCUAAUGGUUCGGGUUUUUCUCUGAACCAAUUAAUUGAGGAUUUGUAUAAUUGAACACCAUAAAUUAUGAAAACAGCGAAUGUGUCAACAAUCCAACCAAAGACAUGUAAUCAACACAAGGACACCGAUGGGUCUUCAGCGCAUUGGGGAGAUGUAUGUUAAGAUGUGGUGGUUGGAGAGGCAGAUGCCUGUGAAAAGAAAUUAAACAAUAGUAUUUUUCAAAGUAUAGGGAACCGAUGUGAUAUAAAUACGCAGCUGUAUCAAAUUUCAUUCAUAUACUCACACAAGCAUUGGAUACUAGCUACACUCUACGUGUAAUUGUGCUUUAUAUCUAUGCAAUUGAACUACACGUCAUUUUACAAAUAUAUGGUUUAACUAUAUGCUUUCAAUUGAAAAUUCUGGACUAUUUCAAAAUCCAGAGUGGUAAAAGAGACCCAGCUCGUCUGGAUCAAUGAAUGUUUGAGAGUAUGGAUACCGAAAGGCUGUAAAUAAACAAUCCAUUACCGUCUAAGGUCUACUCUGUUUCAGAAGGUUUAAUUUAAUAUAAUUGCAAAAUUUAUAAAUGAACAAAGUGAAUACAAAUCCGAAGGAUCUAAAGUUUGUGAGUCAGGAACCCUUUUAAAACAUCAAAUUCCUCUAGAAAAACAAUGUGUUUAAACCUUAUAAGUAACAUUUUUAAAGACUUAGUCUCGUCAAUGAGCUUCUGAAAUUCAUAUAUUUCAUUAAUACGGUAGAAUCAAUAAUGAAAUAGGAUCUAUCUCAGAAUCUUCAUUUUGAUAAGAUAAUUUGCGAAUCUAAGGCAUACAAGUAACAAACUGAUCUUUACGGAAUAACCUUCAGUUAAAAACAUAUCUUUCGUAUGACGUUGAUGCUCUUAGAUCAUUCAUCGUCGAGAAAUAUCCUUUUAUUUUAGUUCUAUACAUUUUACAAUCUUUAAUGCAUAGUUUUCAUUUGAUGUGUAUUAUGGUAGAAAUAAAAUUAACAUGUAUUUGAUUAAGAAUAUGCCUGGAAACCCUGAAUCCCAUGCAGAUCAUAGUAUCACGCAUGGACGUAUCACAGUCGUGAUAACGAAGGCAGUUACUGCUUUAUGGUUCGAACGACCAUUUUUACUUAAAAUGUUUUGUACCUAGUCAGGAAUAUGGCAUUUGUUAUAAAAUAGUCAGUUUCUAUAGCCGUAACUGCUUACUUUGAUGGAGAGUUGGCUCAUUGGCACUCAUACCACAUCUUCCUAUAUCUAUAAAAAAUGCGGUUUUUUUUCCAACGCAAUCAUAGGUUUGAACGUAGUUUUUUUAUUUAGACUCGUUUAUAUUUUUUCGUGGGUUGUAUCAUAUUUCCUCCGGAUAUGAUCGUCAUCCUAUAUUGAUUCUUAAAAUUCAAGUGUUAUCUAAAAUGAGGGUACUUUUUAUAUUGACUUCCAAAUACGUUUCGAUCCUAACAUCAUGAAGAGACAUUUAUUGUCGAAAUCCGGAUCUGGUGUACAAACAAUAUUGACACCUAUUUUGUGGCAGAACAUCGUGGCCACAAGUUAAAUUUAUUUUUCUGUUUAGUAUUAAAUUUAUGUUAAGAUCCAUUUUGUUACAUCUUUUGAUCAAUUUUAUUUGCAACGCCAAGACAGUCAGCAGGUUAAAGAACAUUCAGUUGUUCGACUGUUAUCAAAUGCGUUUUGUUUAAUAUACUUUUUCACUUUUUUGGUCUUUUGAAUGUUUUUGUGUUUUUUUAGACCCUUCUAAACGAAAUUUGUUUACAUGCACACUAUAAAAAUCGGUUAUCCGCAAUCAUAGGUUUGAACGUAGUUUUCAAUUUAGAUUACUUUAUAUAUAUAUAAUGCACCGAAAAUACAGAAUUAAAGCCACAAACAAUAAGACACCAUAAUAUCCAACCUAACCCUUCUAAAGAAAAAAGUAAAAUCACAAAAAUACUGAACUCAGAGGAAAAUCAAUUCGGAAAGUCCAUAAUCACAUGGCAAAAUCAAAUAACAAAACGCAUCAAAAACGAAUGGACAAGAACUGUAAAAAAAACAAGAAACGCUACUAAAUACAUGAUUAUUGGAUGUAGAAAUAGAGAUUCGCCGUAUAGCAACGCAAUUUUACACUCAACAAACCUGUCAUAUUUGGGAAUAGGUAACAUUCGUUUCUUAGCGGAACGACGACAUAGAUGUUAGGCCACCUAAGAUGUGGUUAAAGUGUUGGUAGUCAGAUUAAACACAAACACAUCAUCAAGUUCAACCAAUUUGUGAUGGUGAAUAGCAAACAUAGGUAGAGUUAACGUUAUUAGAUUACAUUUCUCUUCAACAUGUCCAAUGCCUUCCAAAUAAGAAACCAUUCAACUUGUCAAAUUUUCAUAACGGCAAGUACAAGUAAACCUCGGCAACCUCUUUCAGUUAUAUGUUUGCUCUUUUAUUAGCAAAGUAAUAUUAAACGUGGACCACCUAGGCUCUAUAGGCUUUAGGUGGACGAGUGGUCUUGCGCGUCGGGUAUAGUGCAAGGCGAUUUGGUGCCAAGAUAUCUCAGUAGCAUGAGUUCGAAUCCCAGCGAGGGUAGAACAAAAUAUUUGCAAAGCAAAUUUACAGAUCUAACAUUGUUGGGCUAAUGUUUAAACGAUUUAUGUUUACUGUUGACAAAAUUAUCUACCUUGAUAAAAUUUGACUUUGAAAUCACAUGACAGUAUAGUAAUUGACCUGUCAUAUGACAAGGAGUUAUUCAGCCGAGUGACUUGGUAUAUAUACCUGUGACAAUAUUUGUCAAGUUACAGGUAUCUGUUAAUUUUUUUAAUUGGUCAAUCUGAAUUUAAUGUCUCGUAUUAAUUUACAUUAUUAAUGUACGUAUUCAAAACACAUACACAAUAAUUUUACCCUAACAACGGUUUCUAUUUACAAUUGUACUUCCUUGUCUUAAAAAGAACGAGCAUUAUUUGUACAUAUCAAAUUUUCUUCAAAUAAAAAAAAAUAUUAGUAAAUAGUAAAUUGUAAGGCAGUUUUUUUCCCGCUAUUUUGUGUCUGCAAUCUCUUAAUUAAAAAUAUUGCCCCAGUUUGAUCUUUUAUUCUUAAUCGAAAGUUCUGUCACAGCCAUCAAUUAGGAGGAUGCCCAUUAUUAUAUAUACAUUAUUGUGUGAUAACAAAUGUGCUAAUAAGAAAAUGGCCGACUCAUUAUUUAUCAGUUAAAGGGAUCAGUUCAAAUUUCACAUCAAAAAGUUUUGUUGCCAACCCCCCCCCCCCUUAAUAAUUUUUGUGAACCACAUUAUACCCCCCUUAGAACGAUGAUUCAUUCGUAUGACCCCCCCCCUAACACAAAAUCCUCAUUGAUUAACAGUGGGAAGAAGAUUACGACUGCAGGCUACAUAGUGACAGGCAAAUAACUAUGAGAAGUAUGCUAUAGUUGUUAAUUUCUGUGUCAUUUGGUCUCUUGUGAAGAGUUGUCUCAUUGGCAAUCAUACCACAUCUUCUUUUUUAUAUUGACACUAUCUGUUACAGCGUAAGGCAGAAAGAAAUUUUCCUUGAUUGCAGUCAUUUUCUUUGAUUUUGUACUGUUUUUUAUAACACAUUCUACAUUAUAGUUCUAUUAUUUCAUAUAUGUAGCUCUGACUAAUUAAUUUGAGAAAGAUAGUUUAGUUUGUCUGAUUCGCAGUCAUUAAUAAGUGAUAUUCUCUAAAUAUUUUCAGAUAUUUUUAUUGGAUAAUUAGAGCACAUGAACUAUAAGGUAAAUUUAAUAUUGUCUUGGUGUUCAUCAUGACCUUCCAUAUUCUUUGUUUUGAAGCUGAUGGAACUGAUUUUGGUUAAUACGUUUUAGUUUUAUUCUGCUUUGAGAAAACCAUGAAUAAAUAAAAUGUAACAUCGAUUUUUAUACGACCGCAAAAAAUAGAAUUUUAACACAAUGUUUAUGACCACAAAAAGAAGCUUGGGAUUAAUUUUGGGGGUUAUGGUCCCUCGGGUUUAAAUUAGGGGCCCAAAGGGGCCCAAAACAAGCAUUUUUCUAGUUUAGGACAUAAGUUGUGUAUAUGUAUUUCAAUUGCUCUGAAAUUGUACCACAAUGUUUAAUGAUAUUAGUAGAAGGAUUGGAUUUAUUUUAAGGAUUAUGGGAGCAAGAGUACAGGAAAAAAGGGUAAAAAAGGGACCAAAACAAGCAUUUUUUGUAGUUUCAAGACAAUAAUUUGUGUAAAAGUUUAUGAAUCUUUCAGAAAUUAUACCACAAGAUUCAAUACUACUAAGGGAUGAUUAGGAUUGACUUGGGGGGGGGGGGGGUUAUGGCCCAAAUCUUUUAUGAAUUAGGGGCAAAAAAGGCGUAAAACAAGGUUUCUUUCUGUUAAUAAGGACAGUUAAAAAUUUGAAAGCAGUGUGAGGGAGGUAAUCAGAAAGUAAUAUUUGAACCAAUCCCCCUUCUUUUAAAUAUGUGUAUUUGAAAUUUGCCAAGAUAUAUAACUUCAGAAUGAAUAAACUCCAUUGGAAUUUUGCCAAUUACUUAAGUUUAAGUAAAUAUAAAUCUUUGAAAUUAAAAUACAAAGUUUGAAACCACAAAAAGGAAGGUUUGGAUUGAUUUGGGAGUUAUGGUCCCUUUGGUUUAGGAAUAAGGCUUUAAAAGGGGUCCAAAUAAGCAUUUUUCUAGUGUAUAGACAAUGACGUAUGGAACAGUGUAUAGAAUUGCCUGAAAUUGAAUCACAAAUUUCCACACCACAAAAGGAUGGUUAGGAUUGGAGUCGUGGAGUUAUGACUCAAUCUGUUUAUGAAUUAGGGACAAAAAAGGGGGGAAACAAGGGUUUCCUGGUUAAUAUUGGUGCUCUUUGCUAUUAUUUUGCUUGUUCUAGUAUAAAAUUUUAAACUGUUUAUAGAACAUUAUUGUUGUCUUGAGAUCACUAAUUAGCUGUAAAUUCCAUUAAAUAUUUGUUUUCGGGCGGUUAAAAGUCAACAGCAUAGUGUAUUGCUCAAAAGCCAAAAAAACAAAUGUUAAGUUUAUUAGACCACAUUCAUUCUGUGUCAGAAACCUAUGCUGUGUCAACUAUUUAAUCACAAUCCAAAUUCAGAGCUAUAUUAAGCUUGAAUGUAGUAUAUAUACUUGCCCCAACUGUUCAGGGGUCGACAUCUGCGGUCGUAUAAAGCUGCGCACUGCGGAGCAUCUGGUUUCUUCUUUUUUUCCCUUUUCUUUUUUCUCUCAAACAUGAAAAUCUGAGACAUGCAAACAGAAAAAUGAAAAAAAUAAGCAUUUAAAUGAAAAAAAACAUAGAUUGCAAUUUAACUUGAACCUUCAUGUACAGAAUGAAGUCAUACCUUUACUAAUUGUCUUUGAUCUUGAAGCUGCUAAUCCUUAAAAAAUAAAGCUUUUAAAGGCACAAUAAGCCUUAUGACGUAAAAAGUAUAAAAAAGUAAACUUUAUGUUGCAUUUCAUUUGACUGCAACCCAUAAUUCUUAAAAUUUUAAUUUUUACCUAAAACAUUUCAAUGCCGAUUUUUACUAUGGCCAUUGUUAUAUUAUAGUUCGUUUCUGUGUGUAUUACAUUAUUACUUAGUCGUUUUGUUUUCUCUUAUUUUGAGUGUAAAUUUCUAUUGCGAUAAGACGUGUCACGGUACUUGUCUAUCCAAAUUCAUGUAUUUGGUUUUGAUGUUAUAUAUAUAUGUUAUAUUUGUUAUUCUCGUGGAAUUUUGUCUAUGUGUGUUACAUUUUAGUGUUAUGUCGUUGUUCUACUCUUAUAUUUAAUGCGUUUCCCUCGGUUUUAGUUUGUUACCCCGAUUUUGUUUUUUGUCCAUGGAUUUAUGAGUUUUGAACAGUGGUAUACUACUGUUGCCUUUAUUUACUAUAUGUUAUAAAUGAAUUUCAAUUCUAAUUCGUAAACUCAAACGAACAUAAAAUAUUUAUCAAAUAACCACAAACUCCUACAUGGGAGACGCCACUUGCAGAGACAAGCGCACAUUUUAUUAUAAAUAUGAGAAUAAUAUUGUUGAAAGUUCGUAUAAAUAUAUAGCUAUUAAGCAGCUUGUACUAGUUUCCCCAUACUUGUGGUCCACAAAUCUGAAAAUAAAUAAUAUGAUUAAUAUUAUUAUUUAUUUUGCAAAAUGCUAUUGUACACUUUGACUGCAAUGGCUCGAAUGACUUUAAACCACCUGAGUUCACUCGUCCAUGAACUCAAUAUCCAAAUCGAACCGACCUUACUAUAAUAAACCAAACACGUGUUUACUAUAAACAAACAACAUUUUACAUGUUCGAUUUUGUACAACUUUGAUAAAUACAUGUAAAUUUAAUUGCAUUUAAUUAUGAAAAAAAACCCAUAAUAAAGUGGAGAAAUGUCUCAAUUCAUUAGUACCUUUAGUAUAAUUUUAAAGCUUUAUAAAUGUUUCGGGGAUUUUCAUUUUCUUAUAUUUCAGUUCUAGGAACCGAAACUGAAAAUAAUACAUAUAAAAAGAAAAAUCACAAAAAUACCGAACUUAGAGAAAAUCAAUUCGGAAAGUCCAUAAUCACUUGGCAAAAUCAAAUAACAAAAUGCAUCAAAAACGAAUGGACAAGAACUGUCAUAUUCCUGACUUGGUACAGGCAUUUUCAAACGUAGAAAAUGGUGGAUUAAACCUGGUUUUAUAGCGCUAACCCUCUCACUUUGAUGACAGUCUCAUCAAAUUCCGUUAUAUUUACAAUGAUGUGUUAACUAAACAGAAACAAUUAAAAAAAAAUAGUCAAAAUAUGGGUACAGCAGUUAUCAUCGUGUAACAAUUUUUAAAGGAACAAUUUAACAGAACACAAAAACAUCAAAUUACAAACACAUUCAUUCAUUUGUAUCAGUGAUUUUAUGGUUCUGGUACUUCCUGCAUCAAAUAUGUAGUUUUGUUUGACCCUUUAUUAUAUAAAUAUUUAUAUAGGUUUAUAGUUAUAAGUCAUGAACAUUUAAUUUCUUUUUGUGGAAAUGUUUUACGAAUCUCCGAGUGUAUUUUUGCGUGUGUGAAUAAAAUACUGCCCAACAAAAAUUAAAGGCCCUUAAUUGAAACAUUAUCAUCGAUAUCUUUGUUAUAUUUUAAUAAAUUUAUUGUACUCAUUAAUAAAUGAUUUUAGAAUGUACACACCUGCUACAGUCCUACAUCUUUCCCAAGAAUUAUCAUCAAAAUAAUUUUAACAUUUUAGAAAGUUGAAAUACACAUGUUCCACUGCAUUUUCAGAAACUUUUCAUUAUUUAUACAGUUGUUAAUCUUAAGAAUUUAAGCUAAGUCGGGUUUUAAAUUUUGACAUCCUAUAGAUAAUAAAACAUAACAUAUGAGUGAUCAGAUACACUACCCUUGAGUGAUUGGGCAUUCUGCUGGUGCUGUACACUAUCGAAGAUUUAAAAAUGACAGAAAUUACUUUAGAGAUUGCACGCUUACUUCAGUAUUGUCAGCAAUUUAUGUACUUGACAGACAUAAAAAAUUUCAUUAUAUGACCCCCAUCCAAAAUUUUAUUAUGGCAAAAAAAUGACCCCCCCCCCUUGCAAUAAAAAUGCACCGACCCCUCAGCUGAUAAAUAAUGACUAUUCCCUAUUAAUGUUAUUCUAACAAUGGUUUCUAUUCAACUUUUAUUGUUUCUAUAGUUUGGUUCUGAUUAAAUCCUUGAAUUAAUUUUCGUCCUAAAGGAAUUUAAAACAUGAAUCAAUAAUAACAAAUACGUUGUUUUAGGUUGUAAAGUAUGUCAUCCAACAUUUUUUGUGGACCCUGUAGCCAUGUCAACACACAUAAAAAUGCACAGAAAUGGUGUACAAAUUGCGAAGAAGGUUUUUGUGCUGACUGCGAACAGGUGCAUCGAUCCAUGAAGGUCACUAGAGAUCACACACUCAUAUCAACCGACGAUUAUCGUAAAAUUGAAAAUGUUCCCGUCAAUUUGAAAUGUGAUACCCAUGGCAAGAGGUUUGAUCUAUACUGCAAAACACACGACGAAGCGAUUUGCGUGGCCUGCUUUCCCUCAUUACACAAACAUUGUUCUGAUGUCAUUUCCCUCGACGAAGCAGCAGAAAAUGCAAAGAGAUCGACAGCCCUUGAAGACUUAGAAGAUUCAAUCAAAGUUGCUUUAGAAAACUUGAAAGGUUUCAUCAACAACCGCAACCAGGCUAUAAAAAAUCUUAAAAUAGAAGAACAAAGCGUCAGAAAAUCAAUCAGUGAAAUGAGAGCAAAUGUUAACAAACAUUUGGAUGAACUUGAAAAUAGACUGUUAGAAGAUUUGUCUCAACGGUAUGAAAACUGUAAAUCAAAAUAUGGAGAAGCCCAGAAGUAUUUGAAUAAAACAGAAAAAGAAGUCAACUUACUACAAGAACAAACAUCCCAAAUGAAACUUGUCGGAUCCGACUUACAGGUAUUUCUUGGCACUCGUCAGAUGAACAAUUUAAUCCAUAACAAGGUAAAACACGUCAGAUCAAUUACGAGCACAUUACAGGAUUACAAGAUAGGGGUUGAGAUUCAUCAAGGAAUAACUUCGUUACUAGAAAAUGUCGAUAAUUUUGGCAAGGUAAAAAUUGAUGAAACCACUCCCAAUUUACCAUUCAAAGAUGCAAAGGUCGACCAAGCUCAAAUAGUACAUAAACCAACCGGUCAAUCUUUUGAUCGAACAAGGCUUCAAUUGAGGCAAAAGUUCCAAAUCAAAGGCAAUAACAAUAAAAUGAAUGUCCGCGGAUGUGGUAUUUUACCAAAUAGUCAUUUAUUGAUUGCCAAUUUCAAUGAAAACAAAGCAAUAAUGGAGUAUAGUGACGAUGGAACAUACAUUCGUGACAUACCAGUCUCUAACACACCGUACAAUUUGGUGAUUAUAGACAGUGAUCGUAUAGCAGUUUCAUAUGGUGGAAAUCAUGAUAUGGAAAUAUUGAACAUUAACAACAAAAUGGUUCUCGCGAAAGUAACUUUUGAAUGGGAUUGUUAUGGAAUUUCGUAUCAGAAUGGAAACAUUUAUAUAGGAGCAGGUAAUGAGGGUAUUGUGGAGAUGGAUAUGACAGGGAAACGAUUACGUACAAUAGGUGGAAAAUAUGCUGAAGAAGGUAUUCUGCAUAUCGCUACAACAAACGACAGAAUAUAUUGUACAGACUUCGCGAAAUCUGCAAUAUACUGUUGUAGUAUGACAGGUGAAGAUAUCUGGACAUUCACUGACCAAUCUCUUGAUGAUGCAAGGGGAAUAUCAGCUGAUGGCGACGAGAACGUGUUUGUUGCAGGUCAAGAUUCUAACAACCUUAUGAUGAUACAACAUGAUGGGAAAGUCAGUAAAAUACUACUUUCUGAAUCCGACGGUCUUUACUAUCCGGUCCCAGUGCAUUACAAUAGAGACAAGAAAUUACUGUUGGUGUGUAAUGUAAACGGAGAUGCCUUUCUAUAUAGUGUUAUAUAGUCAGAGUCAGAACAAUCAUACAAAGACUGAAAAUGCGCCCUUUACAAAUUGUUUCUCGUUUUAAAGAAAAAUCUAUAUUAACUUAUAUUGGAUUUAUUGAAUGGAUGUUGCAAUAUUUUAACAUUAGUUUACGCUCGAUAGGAUUUAACCUAAUGUACGAUAUGAUCAAUGUCGAAAUAAAAAAA
rnacentral:lncRNA from 1 species